rfam:Alligator mississippiensis ScZkoYb_40, whole genome shotgun sequence.
GUGCUUGCUUUGGCAGCACAUAUACUAAAAUUAGAAUUAUAUAGAGAAGAUUCACAUAGCUGCUGCACAAUGAUAACACAAAUUUGUGAAGUGUUUCACAAUUUU